CGUGUAGGCGGUCAGGGAAGUUGGUUGUGAAAGCCCUCGGCUAACCGAGGGAGGUCAUCCAAAACUCCCUGACUUGAGUGAGGUAGAGGAGCACGGAAUUCCCGGUGUAGUGGUGGAAUGCGUAGAGAUCGGGAGGAACACCAGUGGCGAAAGCGGUGCUCUGGGCCUUAACUGACGCUGAGAUGCGAAAGCGUGGGGAGCGAAAG
rnacentral:rRNA from 1 species